rnacentral:lncRNA from 1 species
GAUAUCAGGGACCCUGGGGAAACCAGCAGGGAGCAGAAUGAACAGGGCUAAGGGAGCAACCCAGAGUGGCUGGGUCAGGGGGCAAGGCAGAGAGGCAGACUUUUACAGCUCCCUUACCCAGCUCUGUUUCCCUUUAGAGUCUCUAAGGGCCUGUUCAAAGACGAAGAUGGAGGCCAGUGGGGAGAGGCCAAGGGAGACAGAGUCACAGGAAGAUGGAGAUUUCACCGACAUGCUUUCCCCUGCGUCAGCCUCAUCUGAGCAACAAGAUUACAGACCCACUGGGAGCAGAGAUGUGACCAUGCUUGCGUGCUCCCCUCCCACCGUGAUACAGCCCUGGGCACCUGGACAGCAGUCUGGUGGACCCAGCCUAGCGUGCAGAUGAUGGCCAGGUCUGAGCAAUGGCUGGGUCCCUUACCAGCUGAGUGACCUUGUGGAGUCCCCUGACAGCUCCAAGCCUCAGUUUCCACAUCUAGAAAUUGGUGAUAUGAAAACACCUGUUUUACAGAACUGUGAAAGUCUCUUCUUGGUUAAGCCCAGACUGUCGUCCUCCAAUUGCG